rnacentral:rRNA from 1 species
UUGAUCCUGCCAGUAGUCAUAUGCUUGUCUCAAAGAUUAAGCCAUGCAUGUCUCAGUACAAGCCACAUUAAGGUGAAACCGCGAAAGGCUCAUUAAAUCAGUUAUGGUUCCUUAGAUCGUACCCACAUUUACUUGGAUAACUGUGGUAAUUCUAGAGCUAAUACAUGCAAACAGAGUUCCGACCGGAGACGGGAGGAAUGCUUUUAUUAGAUCAAAACCAAUCGGCGGCGGGUGCGUUCGCGCAUCCGUUCGCCGCUCAACCUGGUGACUCUGAAUAACUUUCGGCUGAUCGCACGGUCCAGCACCGGCGACGCAUCUUUCAAAUGUCUGCCUUAUCAACUGUCGAUGGUAGGUUCUGCGCCUACCAUGGUCGUAACGGGUAACGGGGAAUCAGGGUUCGAUUCCGGAGAGGGAGCCUGA